AAAAACCCAGUGGAUAAAAUGAUAUUACCAGCGAUAUUACUUACUGUUAAGUUGCUUCAAUUUUCAGGGACAACUAAGAUGAAAAACCUUGAUGACAAUAUUGACUCCUUGAGGAUUAAACUUACAAAAGAGGAUCUGAAAGAAAUUUCUGACGCUGUGCCCAUAGAAGAGGUAGCAGGAAACAGAGACCCGGAAGGCUUUGAUAAAGCAUCGUGGAAGUUUGCAAACACACCUCCAAAAGACUGCAAGGUUUGAACUUAAAAUAGUUCUGGAUGCUGCCUAUCUUACUUGGGGCUGGGAUGCAAUACUUUAUUCAAAUAAUGGCAGAUAAAUGCCAAAUUAUCUGUACAAUCUACUACUUGGCUAUCUGCCUAUUUGAUGUUAAACUUUGAUUAUUACGAUCUACUAUAUGUUUGGAAAUUUAGCAUGGCCAAUUUGUGAAAGGAAAAUACGCAUGUUUGAACUUUUCUAAGUUAAAGCUGAAUUCCAAGUUACUAUAAAAUCUUGCCAACUUGCUUUCCUUGAAAAUAAAGAUUAGAAAUAUCCAAAUUUUGGAUUGUAAUGAUUUUCCUGGAUUUUACUUCAUCAUAGUGUAGAUAUAUGUUGAAAUAUUUUCAGCCUUUUUGAGUUCCACGAAUGUGACAUGAAUGAAAUCUGUGAACCAUAUUUUAGCUCAAGCUGUUUCUCAACAAGACCUGGAGGACACUGGAUUGAAAAUAUAGUUUCUCAACAUACUACAUUGUCACUGCAACUUGAGUGGUUAAAUGAUAAAAGGUGAGUAUGUGUUGUUCAGAAAUAAGAAUAAUUGCAUAAAUUGUGAAGUUCACAAUACCAUUCAGGAGGCUAAAUUGACACAUUAAAAAACUUUCAAAUUCCUUCACCAACAAGGCACCAGUGGUCUUGUGGUAGAAUAAUACCCUGCCACGUAACAGACCCAGGUAUAGUAAUUAGCCCCACCUUCGAAUAAUUUUUAUUGUUGCCUUCUUUUGAUUAGUUCCAAAUCCUGCUUUAUUUUGUUAGUCCAUGGUACAAAGUACAAAACAGCAACACCAUUAACUCUCUUACGCCCUCCUUUAAUAAGAGUUAAGCUAAGCUACAAAGAGAGGAAAAGCUAACAGCUUUUCCAAAGAUGGCAGAAAAGAACAGAAUCCAAGUUCCAAGAGUGAAAUUUGGAUUUCCGAUUUGUAGUUUUCAUUUUUCUUUUUGUAUUUUUUUCCUUCAAUGCUGAUAAUUUGUUUUCUCUGACUGUGUUUUUGUGCUUUCACAGGUUUCAAAGCUGGGGUUUGGAUGCAUGAGCCUGAGCGGAGGUUACAAUUCUCGGGUCUCUGAAGAGGAUGGCAUCUCAAUAAUGAAGCAUGCUUUCAACAAAGGAAUCACUUUCUUUGAUACUGCUGAUAGAUAUGGACCAUAUAUACUAAUGAAAUUCUUCUUAGAAAGGUAAUGAUUAAGAAAAUGGAAUAAAAUGAAGUUAUCUUAUCAUGGAAUAACAUUUUAAAAGAAAAUCCAAAAUACAAAUAGGUUAUGUUUAUGCCAAAAAUUUAAAUAAAAAAAUAUAAAUUAGUAAUUAAAUUAACUUAACAAGGAUGAUGUUGCCGUAUUACACACAAAAAUAUAUUUUAUUUUGAUGAAUACUUAACGUUUGUAAAAUAAAUUAAAUUAAUUAGGAGUAAUAUGGACUUCUUAUUAUAAAAUAGCUUAAAUUGUUAGGGUAAGAGUUGAUUGUAGCAUUAUUAAAUUUAAAGGAGUAAGUAGUAUUUCUAACUUAUACUUGAGGAAGGAAUCUGUAAUUUUUCCAUGCAAAUAAGAAAUAUGUUUGUUUAAGGUAAUGGUAAAUAGCUACUCUUAGACAUUACUAAGAAAAUCAUAAGGUGGAAAUCAAAUCAUUGUUAAAAUUAUGUCAAUUUAUUUGGGGGGGAAAAAGUUCACUCCUUUCUAGUUUCUAGCCUUGAAGCAGUUGCCUAGGUUACAAGAUCAGCCACAAAGUUUGGGAUUACAGAAAUAGAUACCCCUGAGUAUGUACUCUGUUUUGUCGUGAAGCAAGCUUGAAGCACCUUGAUUUGAUUAUUAAUUGGUUUGACUUUCCUCUAAUCUUUUGGGUAAUUUCUAUAUAUGCUUUCACUAAAAACAAAUAAAUUUGCAAAGAAUACAUACAUAGAUAACUUUCUUUCAAAAUUAAAAAAAAAAAAAAAAAUGACCAACAAAGUGUUGGCUCCACUGGCAAUGGAGUUCCCUUAAGUGGCUUGACUGGGUUUGCUCCCCAGUUCGAGUCGCAGGGAAGUCGCCUUUGUUGGGAGAAUCUGUGCCUCCCGGUUCGAGCGGGGACUUCUAGUCUGAGUUGUGGUACGGGCUUAAAGGUGCCUCCCACAGUUGGGGCCCUCCCCAGGAUACCUCGUGAUUAAUAUAAAAAAAAAUGACAAGGAGAAAUUAUGAAUAUGAUGAUUCUUUAAAUAAAAAAUUUUACUGAUUUUCUAACAGCACAAAAUGCUUGAGAGGAAGAGAUUCUCAUAAAUCAAAUGUGAAAGGAUUAUGUUACCAUAAUAUAAAUAUGAAAAUGAAUUUUUCAUUUCUACUUAGAGCCUUGGGCCCAAACAAUUUUUUUUUUUCAAGUAUAAUACUUGAAUAGUUACAACAAAUGAUCGGACUAAUGACAUACACAAUACUUGAAUUUUCAGUAUAGAUUUAUAUUGAUGCAACAAAAUUGAUUCUCAUCUUCAUAGGCUAAGAAAUACAAAUCCAUUACUCAACUAAAAUUAUGGCGCAGAAGUUUUUGUUUUUGUUAAGGUUAAAAAAUGAGCAUAAAAGUAUACAUUUAACUGAUAAAUAAUUAGAAAAUUGAUAAAAUUAUUAAUUUUUUUUAGAAAAUUGAUUGAACUAGUCUGCAACAUUAAGUUUCAACAUAUCGUCCAAGGAUAGCCUAGCCAAGUUGGUAGCAAGAGAUUAAAUGUUCCAAUUUAAGGGGAUAUUCAUAGAUGUAAUCUGAAACAAAAAUGAAAUAAAAGUAAAAAUAAGCAAAUAAUGAAGUAAAAUCAUAAUCGAAUAAGAAUGCUAAGUUUUUAAAGAGGAGAGAAAUUACAAGUUAAGAUACGUUCAAAUUUCUUUGCAAACACACCCCUAAAAGAUUGCUAGGUUUGAACUCAAAAUAUUUCUUGAUGCUGCCUUAGUAGCUAUCUAACGCUUGGGGUCGGGAUCAAUACUUUAUUCAAAUAAAUGCUAAAUUAUCAAUAAAUUCUACUACAUGACUCUCUGCCUAUUGGAUGGAAAUUUGUAAAUUUAAUUCUGCCGAUUUUGUGAACUGAAAUUAUCUUUCGUUGUUAACUAGAAGUUAUAGCCUCAAGUUGCAAUAAAAUUUUGGCAAAUAGAGAUUGCAAAAUCCACCAGGAAAAUGCAGGGUGGCUUUUAUGUAUUUUAAUUCAGAUUGCUAUGUUGUUGCUACAUAACUGCCAUGUACCGAAUCAAAUGUAAACGCUUAAGGCUAUUUCUAGUAAAUAAUCUCCUAAAUUAAAAGAUGAAUUUGUUCCUACCUCCUUUUGGAGUUUUGGGUUCUGAUGCAGUGACUAUUCAAAUAUUGUUCUAAAAAGUUUAGAUACUUGACAUUCAAACUAUUAUGAAUAGUUAAUGGUCUUUACAUUGCUUGUAUUAUGAGGUCGGCAUGAGCCCUCAAUCAAAGAAGACACAAAGCCAUUGCAUUUGCAUUCAAGGGUAACAUAGGAGCCUAAAAUUUGCCACAAGAACAAAUAGAAACUACGGAAUAUACACUAUUGUGUUCAAAUUUCGUUCAAUUAAAAUAACGUCGUGGCACAUAUAUAAUUUAUGUUAUUAGAGAAAGUUUUUUAUGACACUAACGUACCAUGUUAUCAUACGUUUAUGCAAUAGAAUUGUAAUAUAUAUCCAUUUUGAAGUUGACCAACCAUGAAAGUGAGAGGAAACAAAAUUAAAACUUGGUGACACAAUAUAUUAUAUGGUCAAAUCGAGACUGUAAAUUUCUCUCCUAAGUUCUAACUGACAUUUUGCAAAGUCUAGGGGAUAUUUCUUAACUUUUAAAAUAUUUUGAACUUGUUUCCAAUUACACUGAACUUUGGGACACUUGUCAAAACUUUAUAAGUUCAUGAUUAAUCAUGAUAAAGAUAAAGAGCACGUGUCCCAGCUUAACACUUUUAGUCAUACGGAGCCUUCGACUUGGAGCCAAACCAGAAUCCUCUGUCUCAUUCUGCUCAUUGUUGACGUUAGAGUCAACUGUCUCUCUACUUAUUGAAACUUGAAAGACACCCAAAACAAAGAAACCAAAACUACAGCUUCAAAAAUGGCAGAAGAGAAACUCCAAGUUCCAAGAGUGAAACUUGGUACCCAAGGCCUCGAGGUAAACUACCCAUAUGUAAUUUUUUUUUUAAAAUCAAAUCCUGGAAAUUUGUUUUCUACAAUUGUGUGUUUUUCACGCUCUUACAGGUUUCAAAGUUGGGGCUUGGAUGCAUGAACCUGAGUUCUGGUUAUAGCUCUCCAGUCUCAGAAGAGGAUGGCAUCUCAAUGAUAAAACAUGCUUUCAGUAAAGGAAUCACUUUCUUUGAUACUGCUGAUGUGUACGGACAAAAUGCUAAUGAAAUUCUUCUGGGAAAGGUUAGAGUCAUUUCUUUGAAUUCUCUUACCUCUUAUAUAAUUCGGACAUAGGUCAAGUGAUAACUUAAGAAUCACAGUCCUGAUGAAAUAUGUUUGUUUAGGAAUUGGUGAAACCUCGUCGGAUUUUUUUGAAUCUUAUUGAAUUAAAAAAAAAAAAAAAAAGAGUACUCCUUCGAUUUCAGGCCUUCAAGAUGUUGCCCAGAGAAAAGGUACAAAUAGCCACAAAGUUUGGGGUUGUAGGACUAAGAGAUAAUGGCGUGAUCGUGAAGGGCACCCCUGAUUACGUGCGCUUGUGUUGUGAAGCUAGCCUGAAGCGACUUGAUGUGGAUUACAUUGAUCUAUAUUAUCAACAUAGAGUGGACACAUCAGUCCCCAUAGAGGAAACCGUGAGCGAUUUUUUUUUUUUUUUUUUUUUUUUUUUGGGCUAUCUGAAUUGUAGAGUUCUGUCCCAAAUUGCAAAAUUUAAAGAAUUAUUUUAGAAACUCUAUUACUUGUCAUGCUAUAGAUUGGUGAAAUGAAGAAGCUGGUGGAAGAGGGUAAAAUCAAGUACAUUGGAUUAUCUGAGGCCAGCCCAGACACAAUUAGGAGAGCACAUGCUGUUCAUCCCAUCACAGCUGUACAAAUGGAAUGGUCCCUCUGGACUCGUGAUAUUGAGGAAGAGAUAAUACCCCUCUGCAGGUUUGUUCUUCUUUCAGUGAAUACUAUCCGCAUUAGUCUUUUCUUCUACAGGCCUUUGAAGAGUGUCUAAGGACCUAUUUAUUUGUUCCAAUCUAGUAUUUUGUACCUAAUGUUUGUAGAAUUUUUUAAAUUUAAUUGCAUGCAUAGAGUAGAUUAGAUUUUCUGUGCAAGUGUAUGCUAAUAAAUACAAGGCUGCCCUUCUGAUACAUUGAGGUGGGCAGGGAACUCGGCAUUGGAAUAGUUCCAUACAGUCCUCUUGGUCAUGGAUUUUUUGGUGGCAAAGCUGUUGUGGAGAGUGUACCUGCAGAUAGCUUUUUGGUACUUUUUCCGAUCAAUGUUUAUCCGCAUCAUUUUGUUUCCUAAGUCAGUACUAUAUAAAAUGUUUUAAACUAGCAAAAGUAGUCUUACAGUUUCUUUAACUGUUUUAUAUAUCGUCGUACAUAUGAAAAUGAUACAUGUAUUUGUUUUAUAAGCAUUUUCUUCCUAGGUUCAAAGGAGAGAACCUGGACAGGAACAAGAGUAUUUAUUUUCGCAUAGAGAACCUUGCCAAAAAGUACAAUUGCACUUCUGCUCAACUAGCCCUAGCAUGGGUUCUUGGACAGGGGGAUGAUGUCGUACCUAUUCCCGGUAACUUCUUUCUUUCGAGUUUUUGAUUCAUGUAUUACCUUGAAGAAGUAUAUAGAGUUUAAAAAACCCAGCGGAUAAAAAGAUAUUACCAGCAAUAUUACUUACUGUUAAGUUGCUUCAAUUUUCAGGGACAACUAAGAUUAAAAACCUUGAUGACAAUAGUGACUCCUUGAGGAUUAAACUUACAAAAGAGGAUCUGAAAGAAAUUUCUGACGCUGUGCCCAUAGAAGAGGUAGCAGGAGACAGAGACCCGGAAGGCUUUGAUAAAGCAUCGUGGAAGUUUGCAAACACACCUCCAAAAGACUGCUAGGUUUCAACUUAAAAUAGUUCUUGAUGCUGCCUAUCUUACUUGGAGCUGGGAUACAAUAGUUUAUUCAAAUAAUGGCAGAUAAAUGCCAAAUUAUCUGUACAAUCUACUACUUGGCUAUCUGCCUAUUUGAUGUUAAACUUUGAUUAUUACGAUCUACUAUAUGUUUGGAAAUUUAGCAUGGCCAAUUUGUGAAAUGAAAAUACGCAUGUUUGAACUUUUCUAAGUUAAAGCUGAAUUCCAAGUUACUAUAAAAUCUUGCCAACUCGCUUUCCUUGAAAAUAAAGAUUGGAAAUAUCCAAAUUUUGGAUUGUAACAAUUUUCCUGGAUUUUACUUCAUCAUUGUAUAGAUAUAUGUUGAAAAAAUUUCAGCCUUUUUGAGUUCCAUGAAUGGGACAUGAAUGAAAUCUAUGAACCAUAUUUUAGCUCAAGCAGUUUCUCAACAAGACCUGGAGGAUACUUUAUUGAAAAUAUAGUUUCUCAACAUAAUACAUUGUCACUGCAACUUGAGUGGUUAAAUGAUAAAAGGUGAAUAUGUGUUGUUCAGAAAUAAGAAUAAUUGCAUAAAUUGUGAAGUUAACAAUGCUAUUUAGGAGGCGAAAUUGACACAUUGAUAAACUUUCAAAUUCCUUUACCAACAAGGCACCAGUGGUCCAGCGGUAGAAUCCCCCCCCCCCCCCCCCCGGCGCGGGUAUGGUAAUCAGCCCCAACGUCGAACAAUUUUUAUUGUUGCCUUCUUUUGAUUAGUUCCAAAUCCUGCUUUAUUUUGUUAGUCCAUGGUACAAAGUACAAAACAGCAACACCAGUAACUCUCUUACGCCCUCCUUUAAUAAGGAUUAAGCUAAGCUACAAAGAGAGGAAAAGCUAACAGCUUUUCCAAAGAUGGCAGAAAAGAACAAAAUCCAAAUUCCAACAGUGAAAUUUGGAUUUCCGAUUUGCAGUUUUAAUUUUUUUCUCUCUGUUUUUUUUUUUCCUUUAAUGCUGAUAAUUCGUUUUCUCUAAUGAUGGUCAGUGGGCCGUGCCGGCACCAAACGUCGGCCCACACAGGCUCGUGGGCUGGCACCGCACGGCCCACUAAUUUGGUGGGUCAUGUUUAUUUUUUUUAUAAGAGUCCGGCACGGCCCACCAGCCUAAUAAUAACAAUAAUAAUAAUAAUAAUAAUUUCAUAGAUCAUAGUAAUAAUUAAUGAAAAAUAAAAUUACAAUUUUAGAAUAACAAUUACAUCUAAUUUUAUUUGAACUACUAAUAUUAUAAUUGCACAUAAACUCUAUUGAAUGAAAAUGUAAUUUUUAAUUUAUCAUAAAAAUAUUUUGUUCAUAAUUUUAUUUUUUUGUGUAUAAAUAUGAAAAAUAUUUCAUUCACAAAUGAAACAUAUCUCCAUUAACUAUUAACUAAGUUAUGAUUUCAUAAAUGAAAUAUUAAUGUCGUAAAAUUUUUUAUUUAUCAUUUAUAAAAUCAUGAUAUUUAUUUAUCCAUUUAAUAAAUUAUAAACAUAAAAAAAAAUUAGAAUAUUUAUUUAAACUAGGACUUAAAUUAAUUUUAAAAAGCCUAUGCUAAAAAAAUAUAUUAAAAAAUUUAAUUUCAAGAUAUUUAUAAAAUCAUGAUAUUUUAUAUUUAUUUUUCAUUAAAAAAUUUUAUUUUGAUAUACUUUGACCCACGGGCCGCGUGCUUAGCCCACUAAUGAAGCGUGCUUAUUACGUGCCUUUUUCGCGUGCCGUGCUUUGGCCCAUAUUUAAUCGUGCUGUGCUUUUAAGACCCGCGUGCCUAAAAUUCUAGGCUCGGCACGACCCACGUGCAUGUCAUGCCGUGCCUCGUGCCCUACCGAAACGUGCUCGUGUUGUGCCGUGUCUUGUGCCACCCGGCCCAUUUGUCAUCUCUAGUUUUCUCUGACUGUGUUUUUUUGCUUUCACAGGUUUCAAAGUUGGGGUUUGAAUGCAUGAGCCUAAGUGGAGGUUACAGUUCUCCCGUCUCUGAAGAGGAUGGCAUCUCAAUAAGAAAGCAUGCUUUCAACAAAGGAAUCACUCUUUUUUUUUUUUAACUAAUUAAGCAUCAGGUUACUGUAUUACAUAGACAUUUACAAUUGCUAUGACAGUAGAUCAUUACACUGAUAUUUACAAUUAAAUAUAUAAUUGGGACUUACAUUAUUACAUUAUUAAUUUUAUGAAAUACAUGCCAAACAAAUAAUCCUUAUGGAAGAACGGUGUCUUUACUCCACUCGCAUUUCAAAAUGGAGAAAUACUUCACAAAUAAUUUUCACAAAAUUAUGUUUAAUUGAGGGAUGUUGAGUUCAUGGGGAUUCGAACCAUUGCCCUCAUAGUUAUGCUUAACUUUAAAGGCCAAUGGUUCACCACUGGGCUAAAGCCCAAGUGGCAGGAACCACUUUCUUUGAUACUGCUUAGUGCUGAUAGAUAUGGACCUUACACUAACGAAAUUCUUCUUAGAAAGUUAAUAAUUAUGAAAAUGGCAUAAAAUGAAAUUAUCUUAUCAUGGAAUAACAUUUUAAAAGAAAAUCCAAAAUCCAAAUAGCUUAUAUUUAUGUUAAAAUUCUAAAUAAAAAAAUCAUAAAUUAGUAACUAAAUUAACUUAAUAAGAAUAACAUUGUCGUAUUACACACAAAAAAAAAAUCAUUUUGAUGAAUAUUUAAUGUUUGUAAAAUAAAUUAAAUUGAUUAGGGCAAUAUGGACUUUUUAUUAUAAAAUAACCUAAAUUGUUAGGGAAAUAAUUAACUGUAGCAUUGUUAAAUUUAAAGGGGUAAGUAGUAUUUCUAACUUAUUGAGUUAUUUCCAUAAUAAUAACCUAAAUAUGUUUGUUUAAGGUUUUGGCAAAUAGCUACUCUUAGACAUUACUAAGAAUAUCUGAAGAUGAAAAUCAAAUCACUGUUAAAAUUACCCCUGAGAAGCCACGAAGUUUGGGACUACAGAAAUAGAUACCCCUGAGUAUGUGCUCUGCCUUGUUGUGAAGCAAGCUUGCAGCACCUUGAUUUGAUUAUUAAUUGGCUUGACUUCCCUCUAAUUUUGGAUAAUUUCUUUAUAUGCUUUUCACUAAAAACAAAUAAAUUUACAAAGAAUACAUGCAUAGAUAACUUUCUUUCAAAUUUAAAAUGAAAAAUAAAUUGCGAAAAGAAAUUGUGAAUCUGAUGAUUCUUUUAAUAAAAAAAUUUACUGAUUAUAUGGUCAAAUCGAGACUGUAAAUUUCUCUCCUAAGUUCUACAUGACAUUUUGCAAAGUUUAGGGGAUAUUUCUUAACUUUUUAAAUAUUUUGAACUUGUUUUCAAUUACACUGAACUUUAGGACACUUGUCAAAACUUAUAAGUUCAUGAUUAAUCAUGAUAAAGAUAAAGAGCACGUGUCCCAGCUUAACACUUUUAGUCAUUCUGCUCAUUGUUGACGUUAGAGUCCACUGUCUCUCUACUUAUUGAAACUUGAAAGACACCCAAAACAAAGAAACCAAAACUACAGCUUCAAAAAUGGCAGAAGAGAAACUCCAAGUUCCAAGAGUGAAACUUGGUACCCAAGGCCUCGAGGUAAACUACCCAUAUGUAAUUUUUUUUUUUUAUCAAAUCCUGGAAAUUUGUUUUUCAUGGUCUUACAGGUUUCAAAGUUGGCGCUUGGAUGCAUGAACCUGAGUUCUGGUUAUAGCUCUCCAGUCUCAGAAGAGGAUGGCAUCUCCAUGAUAAAACAUGCUUUCAGUAAAGGAAUCACUUUCUUUGAUACUGCUGAUGUGUACGGACAAAAUGCUAAUGAAACUCUUCUGGGAAAGGUUAUGGUCAUUUCUUUGAAUUCUCUUACCUCUUAUAUAAUUCAGACAUAGGUCAAGUGGUAACUUAGGAACCACAGUCCUGAUGAAAUAUGUUUGUUUAGGAAUUGGUGAAUAAUUACUUUUGUAUCAUAGAAGGGAAACCUUGUCAGAAUUUUUAGAAUUUUAUUGAAUUAAAAAAAAAAAAAAAGAGUACUCCUUCGAUUUCAGGCCUUCAAGAUGUUGCCCAGAGAAAAGGUACAAAUAGCCACAAAGUUUGGGGUUGUAGGACUAAGAGAUAAUGGCGUGAUCGUGAAGGGCACCCCUGAUUACGUGCGCUCGUGUUGUGAAGCUAGCUUGAAGCGACUUGAUGUGGAUUACAUUGAUUUGUAUUAUCAACAUAGAGUGGACACAUCGGUCCCUAUCGAGGAAACCAUGAGUGAUAUUUUUUCUCCCGGGCUAACUAUCUGAAUCGUAAAGUUCUGUCUUAAAUUACAAUAUUUAAAGAGUUUUUUAGAAACUAUAUUCCUUGUCAUGUUAUAGAUUGGCGAAAUGAAGAAGCUGGUGGAGGAGGGUAAAAUCAAGUACAUUGGUUUGUCUGAGGCUAGCCCAGACACAAUUAGGAGAGCACAUGGUGUUCAUCCCAUCACAGCUGUACAAAUGGAAUGGUCCCUCUGGACUCGUGAUAUCGAGGAAGAGAUAAUACCCCUCUGCAGGUUUGUUCUUCUUUCAGUGAACACUAUCCACAUUAGUCUUCUCUUUUACAGUCCUUUGAAGAGUGUCUAAGGACCUAUUUACCUUUUCCAAUCUAGUAUUUUGUGUCUAAUGUCUGUAGAAUUUUAAAAAAAAUAAUUGCUUGCUUAGAAUAGAUUAGAUUUUCUGUGCAAGUAUAUGCUAAUAUAUACAAGGCUGCUUUUCUUAUACAUUGAAGUGGGCAGGGAACUUGGCAUUGGAAUUGUUCCAUACAGCCCUCUUGGUCGUGGGUUUUUCGGUGGCAAAGCUGUUGUGGAAAGUGUACCCGCAGAUAGCGUUUUGGUACUUUUUUCAUAAAUGUUUAUCCACAUCAAUUUGUUUCCUAUGUAGUGUAUAAAUGUUUUAAAAUAGCAACAGUAGUUUCCAGUUUCCUUUAAUGCUAAUGUUUUAUAUAUCAUAAUACAUAUUAAAAUGAUGCAUAUGUUUGUUUUAUAAGCAUUUUUUUCCUCGGUACAAAGGAGAGAACCUGGACAGGAACAAGAAUAUUUAUUUUCGCAUAGAGAAUCUUGCCAAAAAGUACAAAUGCACUUCUGCUCAACUAGCCCUAGCAUGGGUUCUUGGACAGGGGGAUGAUGUCGUACCUAUUCCUGGUAACUUACUUUCUUUUGAGUUUGUGAUUCAUGUAGUGCCUUGAAGAAGUAUAUAGAGUUUAAAAAACCCAGCUGAUAAAAAUGAUAUUACCAGCAAUGUUACUUACUGUUAAUUUGCUUCAAUUUUCAGGGACAAUAUUGACUCCUUGAGGAUUAAACUUACAAAAGAGGAUGUGAAAGAAAUUUCUGACGCUGUGCCCAUAGAAGAGGUAGCAGGAGACAGAGACCCGGAAGGCUUUGAUAAAGCAUCGUGGAAGUUUGCAAGCACACCUCCAAAAGACUGCAAGGUUUGAACUUGAAAUAGUUCUGGAUGCUGCCUAUCUUACUUGGGGCUGGGAUGCAAUACUUUAUUCAAACAAUGGCAGAUAAAUGCCAAAUUAUCUGUACAAUCUACUACAUGGCUUUCUGCGUAUUUGAUGUUAAACUUUAGUCAUUAUGAUAUACCGUAUGUUUGGAAAUUUAGCAUGGCCAAUUUGUGAAAU
rnacentral:lncRNA from 1 species